GAUGAAGAACGUAGUGAAAUGCGAUAAGUAAUGUGAAUUGCAGAAUUCAGUGAAUCAUCGAAUCUUUGAACGCACAUUGCGCCCGCCAGUAUUCUGGCGGGCAUGCCUGUUCGAGCGUCAUUACAACCCUCAGGCCCCCGGGCCUGGCGUUGGGGAUCGGCGGAGCCCCCCGUGGGCACACGCCGUCCCCCAAAUGCAGUGGCGGUCCCGCCGCAGCUUCCAUCGCGUAGUAGCUAACACCUCGCGACUGGAGAGCGGCGCGGCCACGCCGUAAAACACCCAACUCUUCUGAAGUUGACCUCGAAUCAGGUAGGAAUACCCGCUGAACUUAAGCAUAUCAAUAAGCGGAG
rnacentral:misc_RNA from 1 species